rnacentral:rRNA from 1 species
GAUCUGGCUCAGGAUGAACGCUAGCUACAGGCUUAACACAUGCAAGUCGAGGGGAAACGACAGAGGAAGCUUGCUUUCUUUGGGCGUCGACCGGCGCACGGGUGAGUAACGCGUAUCCAACCUUCCCGCAAGUAAGGGAUAACCCGUAGAAAUGCGGCCUAAUACCUUAUGUUUUCCUUAGAGGGCAUCUGAUGAGGAACAAAGAUCCGUCGCUUGCGGAUGGGGAUGCGUCUGAUUAGUUAGUCGGCGGGG